rnacentral:rRNA from 1 species
AGAGUUUGAUCAUGGCUCAGGACGAACGCUGGCGGCGUGCCUAACACAUGCAAGUCGAGCGGGGAGAGAUUUUCGGAUUUCUCUUUAGCGGCGGACGGGUGAGUAACACGUGGGUAACCUGCCUCAAAGUGGGGGAUAGCCUUCCGAAAGGAAGAUUAAUACCGCAUAAUAUCUUGAUGCUGCAUGGCAUUGAGAUUAAAGGAGCAAUCCGCUUUGAGAUGGACCCGCGGCGCAUUAGCUAGUUGGUGAGGUAACGGCCCACCAAGGCGACGAUGCGUAGCCGACCUGAGAGGGUGAUCGGCCACAUUGGAACUGAGACACGGUCCAGACUCCUACGGGAGGCAGCAGUGGGGAAUAUUGCACAAUGGGGGAAACCCUGAUGCAGCAACGCCGCGUGAGUGAUGAAGGCCUUCGGGUCGUAAAGCUCUUUGAUCAGGGACGAUAAUGACGGUACCUGAAAAACAAGCCACGGCUAACUACGUGCCAGCAGCCGCGGUAAUACGUAGGUGGCGAGCGUUGUCCGGAUUUACUGGGCGUAAAGAAUGCGUAGGUGGAUAUUUAAGUGGGAUGUGAAAUCCCCGGGCUCAACCCGGGAACUGCAUACCAAACUGGAUAUCUGGAGUGCAGGAGAGGAAAGCGGAAUUCCUAGUGUAGCGGUGAAAUGCGUAGAUAUUAAGAGGAACACCAGUGGCGAAGGC